GGAGAAGCCAAUCAGCGUCCCCGCGGUUCCCGGUUAUAAAGUCUCCACCGACCCGCCGCACGCAGUUUCUCCUCAGACGCCGAGGCUGUGGGUCAUGGCAUCGGGAGCCCUCCUUCUGCUCCUCACGGGGGCCCUGACCCUGACCGAGACCUGGGCGGGCUCCCACUCCCUGAGGUAUUUCUACACCGGGGUGUCCCGGCCCGGCCGCGGGGAGCCCCGCUUCAUCGCCGUCGGCUACGUGGACGACACGCAGUUCGUGCGGUUCGACAGCGACGCCCCGAAUCCGAGGGAAGAGCCGCGGGCGCCGUGGGUGGAGCAGGAGGGGCCGGAGUACUGGGAUCGGAACACGCGGAUCUACAAGGAGGCCGCACAGAUUUACCGAGUGGACCUGAACACCCUGCGCGGCUACUACAACCAGAGCGAGGCCGGGUCUCACACCAUCCAGGAGAUGUACGGCUGCGACGUGGGGCCGGACGGUCGCCUUCUCCGCGGGUACAGCCAGGACGCCUACGACGGCGCCGAUUACAUCGCCCUGAACGAGGACCUGCGCUCCUGGACCGCGGCCGACGUGGCGGCUCAGAACACCAAGCGCAAGUGGGACGGGACCGAUUAUGCGGAGCAACUAAGGAACUACCUGGAGGGCACCUGCGUGGAGUGGCUCCUCAGAUACCUGGAGAACGGGAAGGACACGCUGCAGCGCGCAGACCCUCCAAAGACACACGUGACCCACCACCCCAUCUCUGACCGUGAGGUCACCCUGAGGUGCUGGGCCCUGGGCUUCUACCCUAAGGAGAUCUCACUGACCUGGCAGCGUGAUGGGGAGGAUCAGACCCAGGACAUGGAGCUUGUGGAGACCAGGCCUUCAGGGGACAGAACCUUCCAGAAGUGGGCGGCCCUGGUGGUGCCUUCUGGAGAGGAGCAGAGAUACACGUGCCACGUGCAGCACGAGGGGCUUCAGGAGCCCCUCACCGUGAGAUGGGAACCUCCUCAGCCCACCGUCCCCAUCAUGGUCCUCAUUGUUGGCCUGGUUCUCUUGCUGGUCACUGGAGCUGUGGUGGCUGGAGCUGUGAUCUGGAGGAAGAAGCACUCAGUUGGGGACCAGAUUACCAGCACUUGAAGGUCAGAGAGGGAAGGUUCCUGCUGACAGACCCCCAGGAGGGAAGAAGUUGAUCCAGUCCCCGCACAUCUCCUUUCUUCAUGUUCCUGAUCCUAUCAUGGGUUUUGGUCAACAGUUCUGGAAAGUUCUCUGUGGUCCAGGACUAGAGGGUUCCUCUAGGAUCUCACAACUCAGUCUUCUCCCUGGCCUCUCACGUGAUGUUUUCUUCUUACAGGUGAAAAAGGAGGGAGCUACGCUCAGGCUGCAAACAGUGACAGUGCUCAGGGCUCUGAUGUGUCUCUCACGGAUCCUAAAGUGUGAGGCAGCAGCCUCGUGGGGACUGAGUGAUGCACGGUCCUACUUGUGUGGCUUCAGAUCCCGUGACUCCUCUUUCUGCAGCUGCAUCUGAAUGUGUCUGUGUUCCUUGUAGCAUAAUGUGAGGAGAUGGGGAGACUGGCCCACCCCUGCCACCACGACCCCUCCCCACCCUGACCUGUGUUCUCUUCCCUGAUCCACUUGCCUGUUCUAGCAGAGGCAGGGGUGGGCCACCUCCAUCCCUGUCUUAACUUCGUGGUGCACUGAAUAGUAAUGUCUUAUCUUGGCUGUUGAAAAUAAAAUC